GCCAAUUAAACAAUAGGUGAUUUAUUUGCUUAAAUAUAAUGUACAAUUACAAUGUCAAGUUUUUUUUCAACAAAGGCAAACUUGUACGACGAGAUAAACUUCAAUUUGAAGUAUACACGGAAGCGAUAAGAUGCCCACCGAACGAAAACUUCAACCAAUGCAAAUUUAGCUUGGAUUAUUCUUUCCUUCAAAAUAUGUUGCAACAAGAUCAGCGGGCAUUUUACCAAAUUUGUGUGUGAAAAAAAGAAAAAACUUUUCUGCGUAUCGGGGAAACAAUUUCCCAAGCCAUGGUGAAAAUAGUCACGUAGGCAAAGAGAAGAACAAUACCAACAUUGAAAAUAGCGGUAUUCUAUACCGACACUGAAAAAUCAGCAAAGAAUACCGCUAUUUUCAGUGUCAGUAUUAUACUUCUCUUCGUCUAACAUGGCUAUUUUCAUCAUUGUUUGGGAAAUUGUUUCUCUGAUGCACA
rnacentral:misc_RNA from 1 species